CUUUCUCUCUCUCUCUCUCCCUCUGAUUCUCAUUCUUUCUCUCUCUUCUCUCUUCCUUGUUUUCUCUCUCUCCGUCGUUUUGAGCAAUUAAGCUCAUUUAGAGUGAAAUUUUUAGGCUUUUAUUUGAAGGGGGAGAGAGAGGGGGAGAGUGAGGGGAGAAAAUGAGGGAGAAAGAGAGGGAGGGGAGAGAGAAAAAGAAAAGAGAGAGAAUAA
rnacentral:misc_RNA from 1 species